GACGAACGCUGGCGGCGUGCCUAAUACAUGCAAGUCGAGCGGAACUGGGGGAGCUUGCUCCUUCCAGUUUAGCGGCGGACGGGUGAGUAACACGUGGGCAACCUGCCCUGCAGAUCGGGAUAACUCCGGGAAACCGGUGCUAAUACCGAAUAGUUUGGCGCCUCUCCUGAGGCGCUACGGAAAGACGGUUUCGGCUGUCACUGCAGGAUGGGCCCACGGCGCAUUAGCUAGUUGGUGGGGUAACGGCCCACCAAGGCGACGAUGCGUAGCCGACCUGAUGGGGUGACCGGCCACACUGGGACUGAGACACGGCCCAGACUCCUACGGGAGGCAGCAGUAGGGAAUCUUCCGCAAUGGACGCAAGUCUGACGGAGCAACGCCGCGUGAGUGACGAAGGUUUUCGGAUCGUAAAACUCUGUUGUGAGGGAAGAACACGUACCAACUAACUAUUGGUACCUUGACGGUACCUCACCAGAAAGCCACGGCUAACUACGUGCCAGCCGCCGCAGUAA
rnacentral:rRNA from 1 species